CGGGUGAGUAACACGUGGAUAACCUACCUAUAAGACUGGGAUAACUUCGGGAAACCGGAGCUAAUACCGGAUAACAUAUUGAACCGCAUGGUUCAAUAGUGAAAGGCGGCUUUGCUGUCACUUAUAGAUGGAUCCGCGCCGUAUUAGCUAGUUGGUAAGGUAACGGCUUACCAAGGCAACGAUACGUAGCCGACCUGAGAGGGUGAUCGGCCACACUGGAACUGAGACACGGUCCAGACUCCUACGGGAGGCAGCAGUAGGGAAUCUUCCGCAAUGGGCGAAAGCCUGACGGAGCAACGCCGCGUGAGUGAUGAAGGUCUUCGGAUCGUAAAACUCUGUUAUCAGGGAAGAACAAAUGUGUAAGUAACUGUGCACAUCUUGACGGUACCUGAUCAGAAAGCCACGGCUAACUACGUGCCAGCAGCCGCGGUAAUACGUAGGUGGCAAGCGUUAUCCGGAAUUAUUGGGCGUAAAGCGCGCGUAGGCGGUUUUUUAAGUCUGAUGUGAAAGCCCACGGCUCAACCGUGGAGGGUCAUUGGAAACUGGAAAACUUGAGUGCAGAAGAGGAAAGUGGAAUUCCAUGUGUAGCGGUGAAAUGCGCAGAGAUAUGGAGGAACACCAGUGGCGAAGGCGACUUUCUGGUCUGUAACUGACGCUGAUGUGCGAAAGCGUGGGGAUCAAACAGGAUUAGAUACCCUGGU
rnacentral:rRNA from 1 species